AGCGAAAUGCGAUACCUGGUGUGAAUUGCAGAAUCCCGCGAAUCAUCGAGUCUUUGAACGCAAGUUGCGCCCGAGGCCAUCCGGCCGAGGGCACGCCUGCCUGGGNGUCACG
rnacentral:rRNA from 1 species